rnacentral:lncRNA from 1 species
CUUCUUCUUCUUCUGUUCCUAUAAUCUAAACGUAUUGUAUUCAUUUCAUGGUUGUGUUCAACUACUAGAGUAUCUGGAAACUUUACAAUUCGCGGCGGCGGUAACCUUCUUCUUCUUCUUCUUCUAUAUUUUCCAGAUUUUUGGUUUAGAUUUUGUUAAUUAAUUCUUGUGAUUGCUUUACUUCCCUGUUUUGGUUUAGAUUUUUGGCUGGGAGUAAGCGAUUGUUGUACUUCCCUGUUUUGUUUUCGAAAUGAGCUGUAGUUAGUGAUGUAUUGUGUGAGUUGCUUUGUGAUCAUGUGUCAAAUUUUUCCUUUGCUAUUCUUUGGUUUUUGUUCCUAUCUUGGAGGAUUUGUUAUGGGUUAUUAUGGGUUAGCUUUGCGUAAUACUUAUCUGAUAUAAAGUAACUUAGAUUUUAAGAUGAGGAUGUGAUGCGCUGCAUAUACUUGGAAUGUUAAUAGUGGGUGAUUUUUAUUGGUUAAUUACCAGACUGUAGAAGAGGUAACACUUUUGUUUUAAUGGAAAUAGUCUCUCAAAUAUUUAUAGUUUCAGAUACAUAUGCUGCCUGCCAGUUAGUAUGGCAGUGAAGAUGGUCAUCCAAAUUCAGACAUUUCACUUUGAAUAAAUCCAUCAUUUUUACAGAAACCCUGCAAUCAUGAGAAUAUUCUUCCUGCAAUAAAGAAAAUUCUCCACUCAAUUUAUACAUGUAUCAUGCAUGACAGAACCGUAGAGAUGGAAUAAUCAUAAGCAAUAGAACAAAUAUAGCAGGUUUCAAGUCAUUCUUCCAUAUUCUAAAGAUGCGAAAAAGAAUAUUAUGUGGCCAAAGGAAAAACGUGCAACUUAUUGUAAGCGCCACAAUCAUCAUAUUUUCUCUAGAGAGUUCAUGUGAUGCCAAAUCUGAGCAUUUCUAUGGCUAACAUGUAUUCCUUUUCUUGCAAAAGAGAAUCAUGUUUCCUAGCGGAUGUUGUCUUUACAUUAUAAGCUGUUUUGUUGCUUGACUUUUUAUUCUUUGCACAUCCCUUUCUCUGUCAUUUUUGUCUUGAAAGGAGUAUAUGUCAUGUAUUGACUCCAUGAAAUGAUUUUAGAAAGGGAAGAAUUAUGUUGCUUUGAGGGUGAAGUCUUAAAAUUCAUUCUCUAUGAGAUGAUUUUAGACCUGGAAGAAUCAUGUUGCUUUUAUCAAUAUAUAAUACGAUUAAGGAAUCCUGCGCUCUCCUUAAUCCGGGGUCCUACGUGGCAUAUCUAAGAAUUCACCAUUCAAAAUCCCUGCAAUUCUAGAGCCUCUAGCUCAAUUCUCUAUCGCUGACGUGGCAAUAUAAUUCCACAUCAAUUAUUAGUAUUAUUUAGUUAAGUAUAUCAUCACAAUUAAACAUUAUAAU